GGGCCGGGAGGCUGGUCCCUGGCUGAGCCCUGCCCCGCCCGGGGUGCGGCUGCAGGGCAGCAGGAGGAAGCCGCAGCGGUUCCGGGCACAGAUCGCGCCGCCCGGAGCCUGCAGCCGCCGCCGGCAGGAGCGGCCGGACCGGAGGGGCGGAGCUGGGAAGAUCUGUGGCCGCCCAGAGAAGUGAGCUGGGGCCGAGCCCGUUGGCCUGGGUCAGGGUGCCCUGUGGAUGGGCGUGGUGCAGACUUAGCUCCCUGUGCCGUAGUUUGCCCGGUGGCUGGAGGCACCGCAGCAGGAGAGGACCUGUGAGAACUCGUCUUGCCGCAGGGGAACAUGCAGCGUGGUGGCAUGACUGUUGAGAACCCCUACGCCAGCGUGAAUAUUCCGCGAGAUCAGCUCGAGAACAGCUUCAUUAAGCGCUACCUGGGGGAGGCGCCGCCCUCGCCCACUGUCAUUGUUAAUCCCGGGGCCGUGCCCACCUACCCAGCCCCAGAGCAGCUGAAUGGUGCCGGUAAAUCGGUGCCACUGGAUAGUUGGGAAGGUUCAAAAGUCCUGACGCGGGAGUCCUGGGCCCAGCCGUAUAACCCGUAUGCCAGCAUGAAGCUGCUGAACGGCGCUUCCUCGGCCCCGCUCUACACCAUCGAGCUAGACAAGCCCCAGAAGAGUCCUGAGGUGGGCACGGACAGUGGCUGCUGCUGCUGUAAGUACUGGCCCUGCUGCCGGAAAUGCUGCUGUGUCGUCUCCUAACCCCACGAGCCCUGACCCCUUGCCACACCCGGCCUGGAGCUGGGAUCCUGCAGCAAGCGGGGCUGGGAUGGACAGCCCCAGCUAGGAUGCCCAUCCUAGUAGGAACUGGGGGACGCCUCGGGGGGCAGCCGGAGCCCACAGCAGCCUUGCAGUCUCCUGAGACUCUCCGUGAUCUUUGGCUCUCUUGGGGAUGCUCGGCGUGGAGAGGGGGGGUGACUAUUUUUGCCCUGGUUGCAGGGCGGCUUUCUAGACCUUGUUUAUCCUAUGGAAAGUGAGCUCAGGUGCCAGGGUGAUGGGCAUGUAGCAGUGAUGUGCUGCCAGGAUCGUGGCCAGGCCUCGGGGGAGUUGCAAGACAUGCUGAUGAAGCCUGGAGUGCCUCGUGCAGUGCCCUGUGGUGGAAACUCGACCGCUUGCUCCCACUUACUGUCUGGCUGGGGAACAGCCCUGAUGCAACAGACCAUGCAGCUGUGCUGACCCCCACGCAGACAAAGACAUGCCCGGGUAUCACCCAUUGCAGAAGCAAGAACCUGAGCGUGGGGGGGCCUGAGCGGUGUUUUAUGGGUGCUUGUGGAUUCUCACUGCCCCUCCCCGUGGCUGGGGCAUGCUGGUACAGUCUCGCCUAGCUGCGGAGGCUGCGUGCCUCUUGAUUCUGUGGGGAAAUGGCCUUGCAAACCAAGGCCUUGUCUACACACAACAGUCAUGGGUAAUGUGGUACAAUUCUCUGGUGUGGCUGCAGGUAGACUGGCGGACAGGUGCUCAUACUGGCCUAGCAUUCCGGUAGGGGACGGGAAUGAGCUGUACUGGUACAAAGCACCUGGGUCCUGCUCUAGCUGUGUCCACGCUAGGACUUGGGCUGGUAGAACUGGGUAGGUAACGCUCACGCCCCUGACCCACACGGUUGAGAGGUACAAACUCUGUUUGCUAAGCAGGCUGGAAUGAGGAUCCUGCCAGUCCCUGCCUGCUCACCCGCCCGACAAAAGAAGGAAACACCCCCCGGAAAAACAAACAAACAAAACCGCUUGGAGAAUGUGCUGGGCUCUGCUCUGGGGACGUGCCAUGGCUGGAGACAUUGGCCUCUGGGUCUGAACUCACAGUGGUAGGAGACUCUUCUGACACCACCCCCCUCGGUGCUGGGGCCAAGCAUGGCUGGCGGGAGCUGCUUUCCAGGGGCUGGGCACUUGUACCCCCAGCUUGGUCUGGAGAGGGGGCAGCAGGCCUGCCCUGCUCUACGUGGCACUAACACCGGCUUUUGGUGUUAGUGCCAGUGCUGCUGUGGGACUAGGGCAGGCUGCAGAGGAGGGUUCAGAAUGAAACGGGGAGGGGAGGGAGUGGGACAAGGGGUGUGGAGUCCUCUCGGCCCCAGUCAGCUGUGCAGGACCUGCCAGACUCCAAGGUGCUGGGGUUGUCAGAUAGCCAGGAGUAGGGUGUAAUGAAGUCAUUGGGUCUGCUCCCUUGGGGGAGUUUCUAAAGCAGAAGCCCCAGCCCUGAUGUGGGGGGCAGGGCCCUGGGGAGUAGCGGUGCUGGGCAGAGGGGCGCCAGCUGGCUGGCUAAUGAGCAAGGGGAAUGAGGCAGCACCUCUCUGCCCUUUACAUGGGCGCCCCUUCCCAUGCUUUGCAGCUGGCUGAUUGCUGCUCAGUCCCUCUGCAGCUUGUCAGUGGCACCCCAGACUUGGCUUUCCUGCCAGAAGUCAUGCGUGCUCUGUGCAAGGCCAAGUGGUUUGCAUGUGAAACCUGAACCAGACCCAGUGUUGUCCUUCAUAAACAGCCUCAUGCAGCGCUGGUCCUAGCGGCUGCAGCUGCCGGCUGCGACCUGCCUCACAGGUGAGUUUCUCCUCUAGACAAGGGGUGUUUCUCUUGCAGCAGCUGCACUGUGAAAGUGCUGGCACAGCCGGGGUCCAGGGGGUUUGGGGCACGGUGGUAAAACUCCCCGAGCCCUGUGCUAGCGCUUGCCCCAUUGCUAGACCUGCUGCAUCACGGGCCACUGUCUCUGGGGCAAGCGCCCUGACUGAGUGGUGCUGCAGCAGUGGGAGGGACCAUGCCCAGGUCCUAGGUGCAGAAUCUCAGCUUGCCCGGCUAGGAAGAUUCUAACCGUUGUGUAGGCUGGGUAGAAUUCAGCGUUUAUUUGUUUGUGAUCUCUACAGAUAGUAUCAAGGUUUAUUUGUAAGAAUAUUUUUAGUUUUAUUGAUUUAAAUUUUCACAGUAGGGGAGGUUAUUGGAGGGCCAGAAAAUGGAAGGUCAGACAAUUAUUUAAUUACAGUGGACGAUGAGAUUAAAAAUGUUAAAGGUUUAUAACCAUUAAAACACAAAUUGUGGAAGUAUACAAAGUAAGUAGGCAAUGUAAGAGAAAUGCUGCUUUGAUAUAAGGCAAUCUGCACAUUUGGGGUAUUACCAAUGGAAAUGUUUUGGUCAUUUGGGUGUGUAUGGUGAAAUCGAUGGUCAUGGAUAUUUACCGAUAAAAGUCGAAUCCUUCCCACCCUGUUCUGAGAGGUGUGAACAGCCCGGCCCACCCUCUUGAUGUGUGCUGACUCAAACCUAAUGAUGUCAGCAUGUAACUAUUUCACUGCUGAUCACUGUAGCAGAAACACCCGGCUAAUAUUUGCUCACCCUAACCCUUGCUGCCUCCCAGAUAACCCCAGGUACCAAAAGCUCCCUCUGUCUCCUGCCCAGCUGCCAGAACUUCCCCAGGAGUGUUUCCAGCCCAGCACUCUGCAGCAGGGGACGGUGGAAUGGAAUCUCCCUGGGAUGCUGGGGGGUGGGGUUCUGUGCUGCAGAGCUCCAGCUCGUUGUGGCCUUCACCUAAGUGCAUUGAGCCAGGAUUGCCCACAAGGAGUGACCCAGCAGCCCAUCUGUGCCUCUUGUCCCUCAGCUGCGUCGCUCCCCCCCCAGGUAAUCUAGAGCAAUAGGCCAGUUGUACUCCAACUAGUGCCUCCAAAGAUCAGUUUGUCCCUUGCCAGGCGAGUGUGAACGCUCCGGCCACCCUCACCGGUCCCUGGAUCACAAGCUGCAGUGUAAAGAGCGUUGCAUGGGGUGUCCAGCCCCUGUCUCUGCAGGAAGCUGCAGCGCAUGCCUCCCAUAGACCCCCAGGGUGAGGCCUGGGGCUUGCCUGCCGGGGUGCCAUGCAGCCGCGUAGCCAGGACUGGAUGCUGCUGCCAGCUCUAUAUGGUUUCAAUGGGCAUUGUGUGCAAAUGGCUACAGGACUGCCCUUGCUGGGACACGGCUGCACAGGUGCUGUCUAUAACACGGCUGUGGCAGGACCCAGUUCCCAGCAGGGCUCACCCUGGACCCGGUUAAAGCCCGGAUCUGGUUUGAUUGCACCUAACGUGUGCUAAAGCCUUGGGCUGUCCACAGAGCGCCUGUGCUGGGAAUGGGGCUCUGGCUCAGCCCGUGCUCUCGGACCCAGAUCAUCCCAGCCUGUGUGGAGCAGGUGAAUCAGGAUUUCACUGUAGUUGGCUCAGGUGGCUGCUGAACAAUGCCUGGGCCCUGCUGAGAAAUCUGGCAGUUCUUGGUGCCCCGUCACUGUUGCUGUGAAUAAAGUAAUUUGACCAGUGUC